rnacentral:rRNA from 1 species
AGCUCCAAUAGCGUAUACUAAAGUUGUUGCAGUUAAAAAGCUCGUAGUUGGAUUUCUGUUUUUAAAAAUCGGUCGUAACCUCACGGUUUCUGUACCAGGUUUCUUAAAUGCAUCCUCAGGGUUCUGUUAUCUGGUAUUAAUUUAUCGGAUUUCUGGUCCUUGUCAUUUACUGUGAGCAAAAUAGAGUGUUCAAAGCAGGCUUAGGCCAUGAAUACAUUAGCAUGGAAUAAUAAGAUAGGACCUUGGUCUAUUUUGUUGGUUUACAUUCCAAGGUA